UACGUAGGAUCCGAACGUUGUCCGGAUUUACUGGGUGUAAAGGGUGCGCAGGCGGGCUGGUGAGUCUGGGGUGAAAUCUCGCCGCUUAACGGCGAAACUGCCUUAGAUACUAUCAGUCUUGAAUCAGCGAGAGGUUCGUGGAAUUCCGAGUGUAGCAGUGAAAUGUGUAGAUAUUCGGAAGAACACCAGUGGCGAAGGCAGCGAACUGGCGCUCGAUUGACGCUCAGGCACGAAAGCAUGGGGAUCAAACAGG
rnacentral:rRNA from 1 species